rnacentral:rRNA from 1 species
AUUGAACGCUGGCGGAAUGCUUUACACAUGCAAGUCGAACGGUAGAGGGGGCAACCCCUCGAGAGUGGCGAACGGGUGAGUAAUAUAUCGGAACGUGCCCAGUCGUGGGGGAUAACGUAGCGAAAGUUACGCUAAUACCGCAUACGAUCUACGGAUGAAAGCGGGGGAUCGCAAGACCUCGCGCGAUUGGAGCGGCCGAUAUCAGAUUAGGUAGUUGGUGGGGUAAAGGCUCACCAAGCCAACGAUCUGUAGCUGGUCUGAGAGGACGACCAGCCACACUGGAACUGAGACACGGUCCAGACUCCUACGGGAGGCAGCAGUGGGGAAUUUUGGACAAUGGACGCAAGUCUGAUCCAGCCAUUCCGCGUGCAGGAUGAAGGCCCUCGGGUUGUAAACUGCUUUUGUACGGAACGAAAAGGUUUCCAUUAAUACUGGGAGCUCAUGACGGUACCGUAAGAAUAAGCACCGGCUAACUACGUGCCAGCCGCCGCCGUAA